rnacentral:rRNA from 1 species
UCCUCCGCUUACUAAUAUGCUUAAAUUCGGCGGGUAAUCCUCCCUGAUCUGAGGCCAGCGUUAUAAGUGGAGGCAGACACGAUAUCCGUCGGCGCGCGAUGGACGCGCCCUUCGGACGUCGAGUCCGCCUACUGGAGUUAUCGCCGCAAUACGCGUUCCGGUGCACGCAGUUCACACGACUCUUGUACAAAGUGUAUGGCUACGGGCACUCUCGCGAAUUGCGUGUGUGCGAUCGCUCACUCUCUAUUUCGAUAUUUAAACGGACCGUAGAGAUCGAUAUAUAUCGCGCUCUUCGGAACCGUCAUAUGCAUACAUACAUACGCAGUGUGGUUUUUGUUAUUAUGCAGCCGGCCCUCAGACAGGAGUGGUCCUGGAUGUGUCUCCACGGACCGCAA